rnacentral:antisense_RNA from 1 species
CUUCACCGAGCCCAGCCACAGCGGCCGGUCGGCGUCGCGGCCCUGGCCGUAGGUGGCCAGCAGCGCCUGUGCCUC